rnacentral:rRNA from 1 species
UACAGAGGGGGGCAAGCGUUGUCCGGAAUUAUUGGGCGUAAAGGGCUCGUAGGCGGCCAACUAAGUCAGACGUGAAAAUCCCUCGGCUUAACCGGGGGAACUGCGUCUGAUACUGGAUGGCUUGAGUUUGGGAGAGGGAUGCGGAAUUCCAGGUGUAGCGGUGAAAUGCGUAGAUAUCUGGAGGAACACCGGUGGCGAAGGCGGCAUCCUGGACCAACACUGACGCUGAGUGAGCGAAAAGCCAGGGGGAGCAAACGGG